rnacentral:lncRNA from 1 species
AGCAGCACAGGAGUGGAGGCUGGAGGGCAAAGGAGUGGUGGAGGCAGGGUGGUAAAGAACCCCAGGAUCUCAGCUCCCAGCCAUGUUCCCAGGCAGGAAUGUUCCCAUCCAGUACUGACCUCUAACCCCAACCCGCCUCGGUGUGAAGAACGACUGCCUCGGCCUCUCCCGCUUGGAGGACCAGCAGACGCCUCUGGAGCAACUGGGGCAUCCCCAUGGCAACCAUGCCAGGCCAGCUGGAGCUGGACUUUGAGGAUCAGGUGAUUCCUGACCAAGAAACAAAAGCAAAAACAUCCCAUUCUCAAUGACUUCAGAUGAAAUCUGGGAAUGAAGUCAGGGUACAACUGUAAGAGGAGACACAGAGAAGAACCAAGCUGGUUCUAAGGAACAGUACGUGAGAUGCCACACAGAUUUACGCUGUACCAAGAUCACUGCCAACUUAUUAUAUCAACUGGAAAGUGUCCUCACUGUCUGGACGACUGGAUACGUAUUUUAUUGGGAAUAUGAUUUUUCUCUCUGCAUUCUCUACACUGGUAGGUCGAGUCAGUAUGUGAAAACUUCUA